rnacentral:tRNA from 1 species
GUCGUAAUGGCUGAGCCAAAGCGGUAAACUGUAAAUUUACUUACGAGAACAUUCUCUUUCGACA